GGGCGCGCGGGGAGCUCAGUCCCCUGGCGUGGGCACAGGCAAGGUGAGGGCUCUGCGGGCGCGCGCCCUGUGGUGGGGCCAUGCUCCGCCCUGGGUCCCUACCCUGGUGGAGGCGCCUGGGCCCUCAGUGCCGUCCUGGGACAGACCUGUGUCCCUAAGGCCUGAGACGCUGGGCCCGCCCUGAAGGCGUGUCAUCACGCGGGGGGCGGGAGGGGACCCUGGCCAGGCAGUGCCUGAAUGAACCCGUUCCGUGCUGCCCCCUUCCCAGCCCUGAGCAUGGGGACGCCAGGCUUCCAGCCACAGGGGCAGACUAACCCCGGAGCCCACUCCCUGCCUGGGUCUGUGUGAGGAAGAGCCCGGGCCGGAGACUAGGAGGCAUGGAACAAAGUGUUUGCAUCUGCGUGGCCGCAUCAGGAGAAAUUCCUGGGAGGCUCGGGACCUCGGGGCGACCCCUGGGUAAAGCAAACCCUCCGUGGGGAAGACUGACCCACUCAGGCCCUGGGGGCAAGUGCGUGCAUGACACCGGCCUUGGCAGGUGGGGGCAGGACUCUGAGUCCCAGUAUUUGAAUUCAGGGUCCCCACCCUGUGGCCUGCCAGCCCUGCCCCCUGUCUCUUGGGCUGCUGGCCUGGGCUGCCUGUCUGUCCUUCCUCAGGGCCUCAGCCGGGACCACCUCUAUGUCCCCAGGCCCAUGGCAGGGUCUGAUUCCUGGAACUCACCCGGCCCACCGUGGUCUCUUCUCUUAGAUCCUGGUGUUGGGUGGUGUUGGCUGCGUGCCACACUGGGGCCCCCAAAGAUAAGAGUGCACCCCUCGAAGACAAGCAGGAAAGGCCGGGCUGAUGGUAACUGCAUCUACCACUGAGGUGCUGGGUGGUUUUUUGUUUGUCUUUGCGUUUGUAUCUUCUGAAAUAUCUCAAGUGAGCACGUGUUGUUUUUCAGUGAGAGCCAGGCACAGUCAAUGUUAUUUUUAAGAAGCAGCGGAGGGUUCUCUGCGUGUGACUGGGUGUUGCCGGUUCUCACAGAUCCUGCACUUGGUGUUUUCACUCAGAGGUUCAUGACCCUUUAGACUUGGUGUCAGGGCCGGGUGCAGAAUUGUUAAGGAGGAGCUGACCCUGCACUGGCACCUCCUGAAAGCUUGCCCCUGGCGCCUCUCCCACCCUGCAUGGGGUGGCAAUUCUGUUUGCAGAGAGGCAAACUGGGCCUGGGAGGGGAAGGGCUCUGUCCCGCAGUUAGCCCUUAGGUCACCGUCCCAGCUUUCAGAGCUCCAGGACAGCAGCACAGCCAUGGUUCCAGGGCCAGAAAGGUCAAGGCCUCCUGUCUUUGGAGGGAGGCACCAGAGAGGGCGUGGAACUGUAGAAUCCCUACUUGAGGCCGGCUCUCGGUGAGAGCCUGGCAAGGAGAGACAUGUCUCCACGCACAUGCACACACGUCCACGCACACAUGCAUACUUAUUCACAUGCACGGAGGCAGCAUAUGCCCAUACGUGGGGCCUCAAGAACAUGCUUUAACCCCUUCCUCAGCCCAGCCCUGGCCUCCCUGGUCAGGGAGGGCUGCUCCCACCUCUGGCUGGCACAGGCCGUGGAGUCAGGACAAGGCCCCAUGUAGCAGCGUUGGGAACAGAGCUGCCAGGCGUCACCGUGGCGGGAAUCAGGGAGAACGCUUUUCUAUUUGUCUUUUUUCUAGAAAAACCUGGCAGCCCUCUACCCUCUUUUCAGUGCAUUUGGGGCCUGGCUGGAAGGCCCCUCCGGUGAGUUUGCGAAGGUGGGAGGCGGCAGUGCCAACCCCAGGGCAGGAUUUCUCCGCUGAAGAGGUGUUGUCAUGGGGACGUGAGGCUUUGACCCCCACUAGGGCUGGCCCACCUCCUGCCCUGUCCCUACUACCCAUCCACUUCCCACCACAUGCUCCUGCUCUGCUCUCAGAGCCCAGCCUGGGGUGCUGCCUCCCAGCCAGCUGCCCAGGCCAGGCGCCCUUCUCCCCACUGCUGACCUUCUCUUGAGCACACAAGACAGGGACCUGGGUAACAACCCAUUUCUGGGCUGGGUUUGGGUCAACUUGGGGGCAGGGCCGCCCAGGGCACCUUGGGGCACACAGUGGCACUCAGUGGCUGCACCGAGUGGAGGCCUGUUUCUUCAGGCGGGUGGGCUGGUGGGCCUCACGGGGGUCGCUGAGCAGUGCUGGAAACGCUCAGGCCCGUCCUCGUCCCAGAGAGUCAGAGCUCAUGGGCCUGGGGCGUGGCUGGCAGUGGGCCAGACCCUGCUCAUGGCCCAGAGAGGCCACACUUCCUCGGGCCUGUACCCUGCUGACCAGCCUCGGCCUGCACCCUGUGCAGAUUUUCAGCCG
rnacentral:lncRNA from 1 species